AAUAGGAGAAUAACAAAUUAGAUUUUUUCUCUUAAUUUUCAGCCUUUUCCUCCUAAAAAAAUUUAAAUUCAACAAAAAAGGCUAAAAAUUAGAAGAAAAAAUCUGAUUUGUCUUUCUUCUAUU
rnacentral:pre_miRNA from 1 species